rfam:Gossypium raimondii Chr06_contig_386, whole genome shotgun sequence.
UUGUGCGAUCAUACAAGCACUAAUGCAUCAGAUCCCAUAAGAACUCCGCAGUUAAGUGCCUUUGGGCGAGAGUAGUACUAGAACGGGUGAUCCCCUAAGAAGUACUGGUGUUGUACCCC